AUGGAUGAUCCUCAAAUUGAAAACCAGAUCUCAGAUCUGUCUGCAGGAAGAACAAAACGGAGAAGAAAGAAACCUGGUGAUAAAAGUGCUUGUGGUCAGGCAAAGGUACCUAAAAUUGCACAUCAUUCUCAGCAGCAAGAAUACAUGGAGAUUGCAGAUAGAAGUCAUGACAACAAGGAAUCUAAAAUUGCACAUCAUUCUGAACAGCAAGAAUAUUUAGAGAUUGCAGACAGAAGUCAUGGCGACAAGGUGCUCAAAAAUUUGAAUCAGGGCAACACACAGAUGCAGCCAAAUAUACGAUCGUUCAAUGAGAUUUCUGAGGAAUCAGAUUUGUUCAUUCUAGGAAAGCAAAAUUUGAAUACAAGCAAUAUCAUGCUAGUACCACCAGGAGCAGGACAAUCUUACACAGAGCUAAUGCAACAAAUGACAGUAAUGAGUCAUCUACAAAGCGACAACAUGGCAAUACCUAUAACAAGUUUCACAUCAUUCUUGACUGCUGGCAUAAGCUCUGAGGAAUGUUGUAUUACUGCAAUAAAAAAUUUUAAAAUUGUUAGAAAUUAA
rnacentral:rRNA from 1 species